UCUGGCUCCGACAUCUGUCACCCCAUUGAUCACCAGGGAUGAUUUGGCUGAUCUGGCUUGCUAGGUGGGUGUCUCUA
rnacentral:snRNA from 1 species